AAGUCUCUCUAAUUAGAAACAUUCCGUUUUGAUUCACUUUUCUCUUAGAGGCUCCUGUAGAGGAGAUUUCAGUGGUGAAGAGAGAUGGAGGACUUUAUGUUGAUGCUAUUGAUGACCGUGGAGUGAAUGCUGUUCUCAGUGGAUUAGUACCUGACAACUUUGCUGUGCGGGAGCCUUAUGAUCGCGUCAUACGAUGUCUGGGUUUCAAGUUUGACUUCUCCAUAUUUGACAACACAACUAAACCAAAACCAGCUAGAGGAUCACGUGCCAAAAAAUACCCAGCUGUAAAACCAAGCUAUGAAUCUACAACUAUACCCAGGCUCUAUUUUGGUAAGGUGAACAAUCAGGGCCGGGUUGUUCGAAAGCCGG